UACGCAGGGUGCGAGCGUUGUCCGGAAUUACUGGGCGUAAAGAGCUCGUAGGUGGUUUGUCGCGUUGUUCGUGAAAACUCACAACUCAAUUGUGGGCGUGCGGGCGAUACGGGCAGACUGGAGUACUGCAGGGGAGACUGGAAUUCCUGGUGUAGCGGUGGAAUACGCAGAUAUCAGGAGGAACACCGGUGGCGAAGGCGGGUCUCUGGGCAGUAACUGACGCUGAGGAGCGAAAGCGUGGGGAGCGAACAGG
rnacentral:rRNA from 1 species